CACGUAGGGGGCAAGCGUUGUCCGGAUUUAUUGGGCGUAAAGAGCUCGUAGGUGGUUCGGUAAGUCGGGUGUUAAACCCCCAGGCUCAACCUGGGGACGCCACUCGAUACUGCUGUGACUAGAGUCCGGUAGGGGAGCGUGGAAUUCCUGGUGUAGCGGUGAAAUGCGCAGAUAUCAGGAGGAACACCGGUGGCGAAGGCGGCUUGCUGGGCCAGUUCUGACGCUGAGGAGCGAAAGCGUGGGGAGCGAACAGG
rnacentral:rRNA from 1 species